UUCAGACAAGAAUUAGAUUAUUAGAUGGUCAAAAGCAUUUAGAUAUUGCUUUGAAAUCUACAGAUAAGGUAUGGCAGUUUCAUUUUAAAGAACAAGAUGUUAAAGUUUGUGAUAAAAUUGUCAUCAGAAAUACUGUCCACUUCAGUAUUUACAUAGGAAAAUAUUGGAGGAUGAAGCUCUACCUACUGCGUCAGGUUAAUUUAAAUUCUGAAUUGCAACAACAGCAACAAGCAAGAAGGGCACCAUUAAAUGAAUAUUAUACACAUAAAGCAACAACAGAAUAAAAAAAACAAAAUAUGAACAGCAGCAACUAAAACAGGAACCAUUAAAUGAAUAUUAUACACAGCAAUAACAGCAUCAAAUAAUGGAAAUAAUGGACCCUAUUGCUCAAAUCAAAAACAAAAUUUCAGCAUUACCACUUUAUUGGUUAUAUCAAUAAAAGAAAUUAUUGAGUUUAUGAGUCUAGAUCCUACAAGCAAGCAGAUCUAUCACAUAAUUUUAAAUGAAGAUUUAUCUAUUAUAGUAAUUUAUUCUAAUAACGAGAAAAAAACUUUGGAU